AACAAACGCUGGCGGCGUGCCUAACACAUGCAAGUCGUACGAGAAAGUCGGCUUCGGCCGAUGAGUACAGUGGCGCACGGGUGAGUAGCGCGUGGGUAAUCUGCCCCCCGGUCAGGAAUAACCCGCCGAAAGGCGGGCUAAUACCCGAUAACACUGACGCUCCGCGGAGCGUCUUUCAAAGAAGGCCUCUGUUUACAAGCUUUCGCCGGAGGAUGAGCCCGCGUACCAUUAGCUAGUUGGCAGGGUAAUGGCCUACCAAGGCUACGAUGGUUAGCUGGUCUGAGAGGAUGGCCAGCCACACUGGAACUGAGACACGGUCCAGACUCCUACGGGAGGCAGCAGUGAGGAAUCUUGCGCAAUGGGGGAAACCCUGACGCAGCAACGCCGCGUGAGGGAAGAAGGCUUUCGGGUUGUAAACCUCUGUCCUUGGUGACGAAAAAAUAGACGGUAGCCAAGGAGAAGCCCCGGCUAACUACGUG
rnacentral:rRNA from 1 species